UCCAAGAUUCAGAGACCUGCAAAAGAACUUUGCAAUAAAGAGAAAGGGGGAAGUAAAGGACCUAGUUAUGGCAGAGUUUUAGACAUUAAUACAGAAAAAGGAGUUACCAUCCACACGAUACACACCUCCCGUGCACCUCAAUUUCGGACCCCAGGUGCAAGCGCCCUCCACACUUUAAGGAAUAAAUAUUCUUCUUCUUCCUUCCGGAAAGGAUCCACCAGGCAUGAUCUUCGGAUCAGACCCGCACGGCGCCUGAAGCUGAGGGCACUUCACAGCCACCCGCACUUUCCUUUCCUUGUGUUUUCCCCUCGCUCACCCUACCCGGUGGCCCGCCUCUGGGGCCACGCUUCCCCGACCCUCCGCCUCGGCGCGCGCGGGCCCGGCAGGGCUCGAACAGCCGGCGUCGUCCCCGCCACACCCUGGGCCGCCGGCGCCGUAGCCACCUCCGCUGAGCACCGGGGCAAAAGCGCGGCAGCGACCCCCAACCGCCUCCCCUUCACCUCGCCGGGGACGAAGGGUUCGGACCCCAACUCACGACUCACCUCCAGGCCGGAAGCAGGAAGGCGGAAGCCGCGACUCUCCCAACCCGCCCACAGGCCGGCCCUCGCCCGGAUCCGGCCUGAGGAAGUCGCGGGGCCAGUUUCCGGCUGCGCCAUUGCUGUGUGGGUCCCGGGAAAGCGGGGAGGGUGGGGCGGCGCCUGGGUUUCCGGGGAGAGGCAGGUGAGGCCGCUCGAGGUGAGCGGCGGCGCCCGGCUGGUGUCUGGCCCGAAGCCCGAGGCCCGCGCCUCCUGCCUGAGGCGCGGGUGGGCUCCGGUCUCUGGGAGCCGGUCUGGAAGCGCUGAGGACCCCCUACUUUUGCCCCCGAGGUCAUCAGGAGAACAGCCGCUCCCCUGCGGGAGCCUGGCCAAGGGUGGAGGGCCCUGGUGGGUGAGGUCCGUGACCCCCGGAAACUCCGACCAAGGAACGGCGGCCAAGAAAGGAGUUGGUCCCCACAAACCGCCCAGAGCCAAGGUGAAGGUCACACCCAGCGACUCCUGA
rnacentral:lncRNA from 1 species